UACGGGGGGGGCAAGCGUUGUUCGGAAUUACUGGGCGUAAAGGGCGCGUAGGCGGUUCGCUAAGUUGGAUGUGAAAACUCUGGGCUCAACCCAGAGCCUGCAUCCAAAACUGGCGGGCUAGAGUUCUGGAGGGGGUAGCGGAAUUCCUGGUGUAGCGGUGAAAUGCGUAGAUAUCAGGAGGAACACCGGUGGCGAAGGCGGCUACCUGGACCGGCAUUGACGCUGAACAGCGAAAGCCAGGGGAGCAAACGGG
rnacentral:rRNA from 1 species